UGGGGAAUAUUGCACAAUGGGGGAAACCCUGAUGCAGCAACGCCGCGUGAGUGAAGAAGUAUUUCGGUAUGUAAAGCUCUAUCAGCAGGGAAGAACAUGACGGUACCUGACUAAGAAGCCCCGGCUAACUACGUGCCAGCAGCCGCGGUAAUACGUAGGGGGCAAGCGUUAUCCGGAUUUACUGGGUGUAAAGGGAGCGUAGGCGGUUUGGCAAGUCAGAAGUGAAAGCCCAAGGCUUAACCAUGGGACUGCUUUUGAAACUGUCAGACUGGAUUGCAGGAGAGGUAAGUGGAAUUCCUGGUGUAGCGGUGAAAUGCGUAGAUAUCAGGAGGAACACCGGUGGCGAAGGCGGCUUACUGGACUGUAAAUGACGCUGAGGCUCGAAAGCGUGGGGAGCAAACAGG
rnacentral:rRNA from 1 species